rnacentral:rRNA from 1 species
GAUGAACGCUGGCGGCGUGCCUAAUACAUGCAAGUCGAGCGAACGGACGAGAAGCUUGCUUCUCUGAUGUUAGCGGCGGACGGGUGAGUAACACGUGGAUAACCUACCUAUAAGACUGGGAUAACUUCGGGAAACCGGAGCUAAUACCGGAUAAUAUUUUGAACCGCAUGGUUCAAAAGUGAAAGACGGUCCUGCUGUCACUUAUAGAUGGAUCCGCGCUGCAUUAGCUAGUUGGUAAGGUAACGGCUUACCAAGGCAACGAUGCAUAGCCGACCUGAGAGGGUGAUCGGCCACACUGGAACUGAGACACGGUCCAGACUCCUACGGGAGGCAGCAGUAGGGAAUCUUCCGCAAAGGGCGAAAGCCUGACGGAGCAACGCCGCGUGAGUGAUGAAGGUCUUCGGAUCGUAAAACUCUGUUAUUAGGGAAGAACAUAUGUGUAAGUAACUGUGCACAUCUUGACGGUACCUAAUCAGAAAGCCACGGCUAGCUACGUG